rnacentral:rRNA from 1 species
UACAGAGGUCCCAAGCGUUGUUCGGAUUCAUUGGGCGUAAAGGGUGCGUAGGUGGCGGGGUAAGUUGGAUGUGAAAUCCUGGGGCUCAACCCUAGAACUGCAUUCAAUACUGCCUUGCUGGAGUACUGGAGAGGAGAUUGGAAUUUACGGUGUAGCAGUGAAAUGCGUAGAUAUCGUAAGGAAGACCGGUGGCGAAGGCGGAUCUCUGGACAGUUACUGACACUGAGGCACGAAGGCCAGGGAGCAAAGCGGG